rnacentral:rRNA from 1 species
AUAUUGCUUAAUGGGCGCAAGCCUGAAGCAGCAACGCCGCGUGUGCGAUGAAGGCCUUCGGGUUGUAAAGCACUUUUGACCGGGAAGAGGAAGGACGGUACCGGUCGAAUAAGCCUCGGCUACCUACGUGCCAGCAGCCGCGGUAACACGUAGGAGGCGAGCGUUAUCCGGAUUUACUGGGUGUAAAGCGCGUGCAGGCGGCAUGCUAAGUUGGGUGUGAAAGCUCCCGGCUCAACUGGGAGAGGUCGCUCAAGACUGGCAGGCUCGAGAGCAGUAGAGGAAGGUGGAAUUCCGGGUGUAGUGGUGAAAUGCGUAGAUAUCCGGAGGAACACCAGUGGCGAAAGCGGCCUUCUGGACUGCAUCUGACGCUCAGACGCGAAAGCUAGGGUAGCAAACGGG